AUAGAUUUUAUUUAAGAACAAAUGUAGAGAAUAAUAAAUAUAAUAUUGAAAAUGGCAGAACCAAGUCUGCACCAGAGAAAAACUGAAACCAAAAAAACUACAUUAAAAAAAAUACAGAUUCUGCAUGGGAAGCAAACAAAGUAUAAAAUACUUUUUGUCCAAAUCACAGCUGAAACUUUGAACUGAGUAUCCAGUACCCAAGUGUAUUGCAGAAUACCAACGAAAAACAGCAGGUGCAUAUUAAAGUAGCUGGGAUUUCCUAUAUCACUCUCAAUGUUGGUUACAGGAAAAAGGCAAUAACUGUAUAUUUAAAAAACCAACAAUUUAAAUAAAUGAGCUACUCUGAAUUGAUACCACAUAUUUGUACUGUGAUAAUCAUAUGUAAGUUCUAUGGACUAUACAGUAGCAUACGUAAUAUAUCUACUAAACAUAGAGAACCAUAACAUGAUGGACAGGUAGCUGGUCUAGAAGCUUGGUUUAAUUCUCAGGAAAAUGAUCAGUUGGUGCCUGGCCAUACACAAAAAAACUAGGAAGAAGAAUCCUACCGUUAGAAACCAUUUAUAGUGAAAUAAUUUUCUACCUAGAGGAAUAAUCCAAUUUCACAAAUCCCCUACAUAUGAAUUCAAGUUACACAGCUAGGCAUAAGUUUACCAUUUCAGCAGAAAACCAAGCAAUUAGGGUCUACUCAGAAGAAUCUUGAAGAAUCAAGAUUCUUAUAUGGUAGAGAGAGAGAGAGAGAGAGAGAGAUUCAAAUCUCUCCCCCUGCUGCUUUCUUACUAAUAAGAGAAGAGUCUUUACCAUGCUCAAAUAGUUUCCUGUGGGG